UGAUACCAGGGUCAAAAGGUCUAAACCCACAUGAGCUUGCUCAUAGGUGGGGGAAAGACCUUGGGACCCGCCCCGAUAUGAGCAUAAAAGUGGGAUGAUAAUCCCACGAUAUGCGAAUAUUGGGGAGAAUUGUGGGAGUGCGUAGCACGGAGCAAUUCGUAGGUAUCA
rnacentral:sRNA from 10 species